UAUUAAUGCUGAAUGUCACAUUAUCACAACUGAGCCAAUAGUUCUUCUCCCUCUGUCUCUGUCUCUGUCUCUUUCUCUCUUUCUCUCUCUCUCUCCCUCAUGUGUGCUACAGGAUUGUGGGUGAUCAUCUCCUAACAGCAAGAGGUUAUGGAGGAGAUCUCAUCUGCAGAGGAAGAGAAGAAAAAGGCAGAGGAAAUGCCUCACUUCACAUAAGGGGAUCGAACUCAGGCCCUUGCGCUUGUGAGACAGAUGUGGCGCCACUGAGCUACAUCCUUGGCCCAUAAAUUCUAGUAUCUUUUUUUUGUGUAAUCAUUUUUAUAUGAAUAUUUUUGGGUUGUGGAAUGAAUCACCUGAGUUUCCAUUAUGUCUAGUGGGGAGAUUCACUUUGUUCUGUUUUGGGAAAUUCACUUUGACAUACAAAUGUUUUGGGUUACUAACAUGUUUCCAAAAUGAAUUAUGCUUGCAAACCAAAGUUUUACUGUACUUAUUUUUGUAUUUGAUUUCCUUCUUCAUCAAGUAUACUGUUUAGUUCUUUCAAUGAGAAUGUGAUUGGAAAAUCUUAUGUCUUUGUCUCAAAUGUUCUGAUUUUACUUUCUUUUCCUUGUACUUCUGGGGACUGAAUUCAGGAAUGCUCUAUCACUGAGCUCUACCCCUAGCCCUUCUAUUUUAUAUUUUGAGACAGUCUUGCUAAGUUGUCCAGCUGGACUUGAACUUGUAAUGAUCCUCCUGUUUCAGCUGAUCUCUCAUGUGUACACCAUUGUGCCCAGCUUGUGCCUCGUUCCUGAUUGAUAUUUUUGCCUAUGUGGCAGAGACAGAGUCUUGCUAUGUAGCCCAGGCUGGCCUUGAACUCACAGUGACCCUCCUGCCUCAGCCUCCUGAGUGCUGGGGUUUCAGGCAUGCACCACCAUGCCCAGCCUAAUUAGCUCUUUUAAGCCACAUUGUAACUCUCCUCUUUAUGAUGAGGUCAGAAACCUAAGAAAUUAUAAUUCCCUCCUGCCGGGGUUAUAGAUAUGCAUACCUCCCACCUAAGGGAAGCUCGGGUGUGGGGUUUGUGGAGGACAAGGGAGGCAGUGGCUGCAGCGCAGAAGGAAGCACCUGGUGUGGCAGACUCUGCUCCGAACUGUCUGGGCUCCAGUUCUGCAGGAAGGCAGCUGUGGCCCGCACAUCAACAGUAAUAGGAGGAGCGGUAGUUUUCUAGCAUCCUGUGUAAGAAAAUUUGCAAAUAAAGUAUUAUACUUAAAAAGAAAGUUUAAUAAGGAUGUUGGAUACAAAGCACUGUGCUUCUAUGUAUCAACAACAUGAAAUAAAACCUAAUUUACUUUAGCAUCAAAAGAUCAGAUGGGCCAGGGAUUUAGCUCAGUGGUGCUGCUGCUUGCCUGGAAAGUGCAAGGUCCCAAGUUCAAUCCCCGGUACCAAAAAAAAAAAAAAAAAAAUCAGGUGACUAGUAUAGGAAGAAAUCUAAAAAAAGAUGUACAAGAUAUUUAUGCAGAAAAUGGUAAAGCAGUUGAGAGAACUGAAGAACAUAAACAAAUGGUGAGGUAUGCUAUAUGUGUAGUUUGGAAGGCUUGAUACUGUGAAAAUGUUAAUGAUCCUCCAGGUGAUCUACAAAUUCAAUGCAGUAUCAAACAAAAUUCCUAUUAUGUUCAGGGAUUUUUUCUUUGUUUAAGAAAAUGACAGGGUCGGGGAUUUAGCUCAGCGGUUCCGCCGCCUGCCUUGCAAGCUCAAGGUCCUGAGUUCAAUCCCCAGUACCAAAAAAAACAAAAUGACAAGGUGACUGGAAAAUGCAUAUGGCAGCUGGGCAUGGUGGCACAUGCCUAGAAUCCCAGCACUCGGGAGGUUGAGGCAGGAGGAUCACCAUGAGUUCAAGGCCAGCCUGGGCUACAUAGUGAGUUCAAAGCCAGCCUGCAGUGCAUAGUGAGACCCUGACUCAAAAACCCCAAAAUAAAUAAAGUAAAUAAAAUGUAUAUGGAAUGCAAAGGGUCAAGGAGAGCUGAGUCCUUCCUGACAAGAUCUAAGUGGGGGAAAAUUGCCCUCCCAGGUUCAGAGCUUAUUGCAAAGCUGGUACUGACACGGCAGAGAUAACAGAAUAAUGAAACAGAAUCUGAAACUCAGAAAGGAGCCCCACGUGUGUGGACAUUGGACAUGUACAAAGAUGACACCUUGGUGUGGUAGGGAAGGACAGUCGUUUCCAUAAAUAGUGCUGGAGCAGCUGGGGAGUCCCUAGGGUAGGGGGAGGGACUCGCCAACUUCACACCCCACUAGUGAGGCUGAGGCAAGAGGGCUGCUGCAAAUUCAAGGUCAACCUGGGCUGCAUAGCAAGCAGUCUCAAAAAAAAAAAGGAAAAGGUAA
ensembl:lncRNA